GGACAGGCCACAGCGAUAGCCCACUUCCUAUGCAGAGCCCAGCUGCACUGAGGCAGAGUUUUCUCCGCUGGUGGCACAAGUAGAGGUCAGAGAGACUCCAGGCUGAGAAGGAUUUGAGGCGCCAGGGCCGGCUUGAAGACAGCGGGAACAAUGUGCACGAUCGGAGAGGAAGCCCCGGGAGCUGACAGUGACUUUUGACACCACUAGCAAGGAUGGGGUUGACGAUUCCCACAGAUCUGAAUUCUGCUGCAAAUUGAAUGAGCUGGGGAGUGGGUUCCCUCCCAGAGCCUCUAAGAAGAGCCUGGUCGCUGACUCCUUAAUGCUAGGCCUGGAGACCCAGAGUGCAGACCCCAAUUGAGCCUGCCCUGAAUUUGAUCUACAAAAUUUCGAGCUCAUAAACCUGUUUCAAGCUGCAAAAUAUGUGGUGAUUUGUUACACGGCAAUAGAAAAACAGAUGCACGCCUCCCACAGCCUCCCACUGCCUACGUGAGACAGGGCUACAGGACACCAGUGGGCAGAACAGUCUCUGCCCUCAUUUUGCUGGUGGAUUAGAAGAUGAAAGUUAAUAAAAUCUGGUGGCGCAUUUUAUGACCUCCCUGCUUACUCCUUUGGAGACUCUCUUGCUUUGUGACCACUGGCUUGUCCACCUGGCCCAGCCCCUGCCUCCCCUUGGUGAGCUCCUGGGACCUCAGCCUGGGUGGGCGAGGUCCUCUUUGUACCAUUUGCUGCAGGCCCCCGUGCACCAUUAUCUCAGGUCUGUCUAUUAGCUUUUCGCAAACUGUUUCCUGAAGCCUGAGUGCGCUGCACGAUGUCAAAAUCUGGUCUUUGAGAAAGCACGGCUCCGUGGUUAAAUGGCUAGGGAAGUGCUUCUGUAAUUCAAGACUCAUCAGGGGCUUCACUGUGCAGAGCCGGAGGAUGCAGCGUCCACCAAGUUUACCUUCCAUGGAAGCAUAGCUCCCCAGGUGCCUGGCAGCCCUCUGAGAACAGACUGUGGGCACAGGCUGCGAGAUGCUGCUAAAACUUUGCCCAGGUUUCCUUUGCUUCUCCAGAUAGCUGCUUCUUCCGCAUUCCCGACUCAUGCUCAUUCUAAGUGGGUUAUCAACCUAUGGCUUUCACAGUGAAUGGGACCCGCAGGUGUCCUGGGACGUAUACACUGCAUUCUAAGUGUCUAUUUGCCCACAGAUCACCACUGUACGCUCUUUGGAAUAGUUUUUCUCUGUUACCAGAAUGUUAUACAUGUAGUAGAUGUCCACUAAAUAUUUCUGAGCAAAGAAGACUGUUACAUUUCACGAAUCCAUCCUGUUUUUCUGUUUCUCAGUUCAAAAUGUGCUGUGGUCACUGACAUGAACCAUCCAUUCACAUCUCCAUUAAAAGUCAGCCUUUGGCCGAUGAAGGCCAGUGCUCUCCGGUACCCAGACCAGAAGUGUAUGGUCCAUGCGGAGCUGUCUGUUCGCUGUCUUGACAGCAGUAAGGCAGCCCUGCAGAUGACGCUAAAGCAAUGCCGUGACGCCACACUCACACUGCAGGUGGAGAAGGACGACGACCGUGAGGCUGACUUACUUUCAUACAAAUUAAAUACACGGGACCUAAGUCUAUAAUAAUAGGUUUCCAAGAAAAAAUACUCUACAGAAAGCAAAUGGCCAUCAUAUUGAGGGAGAACCUUUCAGAAUAAGCACAUUGCCAUGAAAGACCCUCCUGCAAGCAUUACUGCUUAAGAAUUCUUUCAAACUUGAUGGACUUUAAAGAUUUUUGGGUAAGGAAACACCCCCUACAAUCAUUCUGCUGACUGAGAACUUGCUAGGCCAGCUCCUUUUUCUCAUACAGCAAAUACAGCUGGCAGUUCUUGGGUCAAAUUAGAGGAAGAGGGAAAGGAAGAGGAGAUGAGACUCACACCACUGGUCACAUUUUGGAGGACUGGGCCGAACAAGUGGCCAGAUUUGAUCCCCCAGUGAGAUCGGGAGUAUGGCCAGUUUUGGGGACAGACUGGCCAGAGCCACAGAGAGGUGACUGGAGGGGCUGUUUUUGGGCAUCCUCAGCAGGGCCAGCAGCUCUCCUCUUGAGCAUCACUGAACAGGAUCUGGGGGCUGAUUCUGGAGAGCUGUGCAGGGCAUGCGGGGGAAAUGAAUCAACAGUGGAGAGCUCCAGCUUCCAAGCAGAUCGAUUUUGUGACUGAGCAGGUAGUUAAAACCUCAGUAUUUUACUGGCCUUCUCCUUUUCUCUUCCGUUCUCUGGCUUGCAGAGUGGGAGGAGGAGGAAGCACACACAGUCUCUCCGAUGAAGCUGCUCUGAGCAGCCGAGGCGCCUGAGGCACGUCGCUGCUGGGUGACAGGACGGCACCAAAUGCUGGCGACAGAGACGUGGCCACACGCGGAAAGCAGGCGACAGGCCUCUCGAGGUCUGCGGUGUGUUCCCCAAUUACACAGAAAUACAUCGUUGUGAAAUAAAUAGCACCUCUGCCUCUGCAGGUUAUUUCCAUGCAAAUGCAGAGUCACAGUAGGGAAUAAGGGAAUCGAUAUUAAAAAUCCAACCGAGACAGUAAAUCAAAUCCUCGAAAGGGUUCUUGUAAAUAAUGGCUUCAGUCAGUUCCAGGGCCCAUGAUUUUAGCAGCCAGCAAUACUAAGUUAGAAGACUUCUCAAUAUAUCCACAAACGAUCAGUACAUUGAAAGACGAAUCACAUCCGUGUGUGAUCUAUAUAGACAUUAAGAGUUUGUGCCAGAAGUGUUAGAUUAAAGGGGUGAGGAACAACAGCUCAGUUUAAAAGAAAAGAAACAUGUGGGCAAAUAACAGGAGAUGGGGCAAGUUCUGCAAUAAUUCAGCCACAUGAGGAAGGCUGGCCACAGUGUGAACUGGCAGUCCUGGGUUUCAGGUUGCAAAGACAAUAAUUCAGCCACAUGAGGAAGGCUGGCCACAGUGUGAACUGGCAGUCCUGGGUUUCAGGUUGCAAAGACAAUAAUUCAGCCACAUGAGGAAGGCUGGCCACAGUGUGAACUGGCAGUCCUGGGUUUCAGGUUGCAAAGACAAUAAUUCAGCCACAUGAGGAAGGCUGGCCACAGUGUGAACUGGCAGUCCUGGGUUUCAGGUUGCAAAGACCUUUCUGCUGCACCUUGAUAUUUGGUCGUCUGAUACACAGAGAGCGCACGUUACUAACCAGAGUUUACACCUGAGGGACCCAGCAGUAGUGGCCCUUACUCAACAGCAUGCUGGGAGUAGAAAUGCACACUGUUCACUGACAUGGUAUUUGGUGUUUCUUUGCUCUCAUGCCACAACUGGCUCCUGGGAAUGACACGAGCCUAAGCCUGCAGACCUUUGACUGUGUCUGUUCCCCUCUCUCCUACAUUCCCAGCACCUAACCCCGGGUUUGGCAUCAAGUGCUUGCUAUAUAUGGGUGCAUACAUGCAUGUGUGUGUGUGUGGAUGUACGUUUAUGUACGUAUGGACAUGUGCAUACAGAGAUUUACACAUGUAUGCAUAUCACUUGCUUGAUGCAAGAAUGACUCAUCAAUUAAUUAAUACAAUGUGUGCUCUUAUUUGCUUUUUAUUUAUUUUUUUAUUGCAUUUUAGGUUUUGGGGUACAUGUGAAGAACAUGCAAGAUUGUUGCAUAGGUACACACAUGGCAGAGUGAUUUGCUGCCUUCCUCCC